ACCACCAAAAAAAGUCUGCAAUGCCCAACAUCUACAGCCAUACCUAUUCAAGAGUGAAUGUAUUGAGGAUCUAUCAAGUUUUAGCAUGGCCUGUGUAUUGCUCAUCUUUUAAAAAUGUAUUUCUGCUCUGGAACCAAUUCUGGCUCAUAUUCCCAGCAGAGAAAAACAGCAUUCCAGAAUCCAGCUAAGGCAGCAACUGCUCAGCAAAGGGAUGCCAAAGGGGGUUUGGACGGCCUAAAGUGUAAAAAGCAGGAAAUUAAUAAUUAAUAAUCCGUGGUCCCUGUGCACCAGGGGGUACCAGGAGGAGCAGGCCUGAGAGGUUAUUAGAAAGAUGCAGAAGAGACUGAUGGACUGGAAAAAGAGUCUCCUGUAGGAACCAGUGUAUAAUUCUCCCUUGUGAAGUGAUACUUCUAAUUGAAUAUCUCCUUCCAACUCCCUGGCAUGAGUGUAGCUUCUGGGCCUCAAUAUCAUCUCACAUCCAAAGACUGGGGGCAAUCUCAGAGGUGCUGAUGAGAUGUGCUCUCUACUCAGCCCUUCCAUACGGACUUGCUGCUGAUUCCUCACUCUUGGACAGAGGGAAUUAAGGCUUUGCUGCUAUGCUGGGCAACUCUGGCACCUACCAGAAGGUGCUGAUGGUGCACACAAUCCAUGCACUAGUGAGUGUCUUGCCUUGGAGAAGCAAGUGCUGCAUCUAGGUGAGCCUAGAAAGCUGCAAUUCUUUAAAACAUUGCAUUUGCCAUUGCUCUAUGAAUUGCUAUCCUAUGGGCAUUUUUGGAAGAUGCUCAUUGACCCUCUGGCAGGUUUAAUUUUUAGGA